rfam:Cryptococcus pinus CBS 10737 unplaced genomic scaffold supercont1.3, whole genome shotgun sequence.
ACGCCAAUGGUGUAAUGGUAACAUAACCGCCUUCCAUCGAGGCGUUCAGAAAUGAACAUCCCUUAUGUGAGCAGUUGCCUAGGGUUCGAUUCCCUAUUGGCGUA